rnacentral:misc_RNA from 1 species
GUGAAUCAUCAAAUUUUUGAACGCAUAUUGCACUCUCUGGUAUUCCGGAGAGUAUGCCUAUUUGAGGGUCAUUUGAAAUAAUAUAAUUUCCAAGAUUUCUCGGAAUUUAAAAUGGGCUGUGUAUUUUUUGUGGUUGAAUAAAAUCCAAGACAAGCUAAUUUUCUCGGGUUGCGUGAUAUUUUCAGUUACCUCGUGACUACACAAAAAAUCAUCGAGCGUGUUU